UGGGGGAUAUUGCACAAUGGAGGAAACUCUGAUGCAGCGACGCCGCGUGAGGGAAGACGGUCUUCGGACUGUAAACCUCCGUCUUUGGGGAAGAAAAUGACGGUACCCAAAGAGGAAGCUCCGGCUAACUACGUG
rnacentral:rRNA from 1 species